rnacentral:rRNA from 1 species
UACAGAGGUCUCAAGCGUUGUUCGGAUUCAUUGGGCGUAAAGGGUGCGUAGGUGGUUAGGUAAGUCGGAUGUGAAAUCCCGGGGCUCAACCCUGGAACUGCAUUCGAUACUGCCUGACUUGAGUACUGGAGAGGAGAUUGGAAUUUACAGUGUAGCAGUGAAAUGCGUAGAUAUCGUAAGGAAGACCAGUGGCGAAGGCGGAUCUCUGGACAGUUACUGACACUGAGGCACGAAGGCCAGGGGAGCAAACGGG